GCUGCGGUUGCCUAGUGGUUAGAGCGUCCACCUCAGAUGUAUGAGGUUGCGGGUUCGAGCCCUGGCUGAGGCA